rnacentral:lncRNA from 1 species
UGAGUGUUAGUUUUAAAUAGACUAUUGACAAAUUACAGAUUUUUUUCAUGUAUUGAAAUUAUAUUCCAGAUGAUUUUGAGAUUUACUGGUAUAAUAUUCUCCUCAUGAGGUAGGAUGGAAGGGAAGGAAUAGAGAAAAAAUGUUCUGCUCUGAAAUGAAUGUGGUGUUUCCUGACAGCAUUUGUCAAGGUGUUGAAUAAUUUGAAUGGGAAUUUGAAGGUUCAUGCCUUCCAAACCAGCAGGAAUUAAGGCUUAAUUGCUUGGAGAUACAUUUUCUGGCUGAUACCAGUAACAGAAAAAUGUCUGUAUGUCAAGAGGCUCUGUACUAAUCAGUUAACCAUAACAUGUGCCACCCCAUACCUAGGGCCAAUGUAACUGUUAACAGCUUGAAGCUAUUAAAAAUGUACCAAUGGA